CAAAGAUUAAGCAUGGCAUGU
rnacentral:misc_RNA from 1 species